AGCUUUUCGAAUCCGUGCUGAGAUUUCGUUAGACACCAGAUCAUUAGCACUGAUGAGACAUCCAAGACAAGUAGAGCG
rfam:Schistosoma rodhaini strain Burundi genome assembly, scaffold: SROB_scaffold0016218